rnacentral:rRNA from 1 species
AACGAACGCUGGCGGCAUGCCUAACACAUGCAAGUCGAACGAGACCUUCGGGUCUAGUGGCGCACGGGUGCGUAACGCGUGGGAACCUGCCCUUAGGUUCGGAAUAACUCCCCGAAAGGGGUGCUAAUACCGGAUAAUGUCUUCGGACCAAAGAUUUAUCGCCUUUGGAUGGGCCCGCGUUGGAUUAGCUAGUUGGUAGGGUAAAAGCCUACCAAGGCGACGAUCCAUAGCUGGUCUGAGAGGAUGAUCAGCCACACUGGGACUGAGACACGGCCCAGACUCCUACGGGAGGCAGCAGUGGGGAAUAUUGGACAAUGGGCGAAAGCCUGAUCCAGCAAUGCCGCGUGAGUAAUGAAGGCCUUAGGGUUGUAAAGCUCUUUUACCCGGGAUGAUAAUGACAGUACCGGGAGAAUAAGCGCCGGCUAACUCCGUG